CUGGAAGGACCCUGGACAUUGGCAGCUUCAAGGGUGCUGAUGAGUCCCCACAAGGAAAUGUUUCAGAUUAGGGCACUGCCUGGUGCUGGGGGGCUUUCCUUCCAGCAAGUGCUGGUGUGUGGCUCAGGUGACGAGCCGCAGGGCCUCCCCCUUAGUAAUGUGGGGCCUUGUGAUGCCCAUUCCCCGGGAGACAUGAUGGCAUGUGGUCCAUGCUUCCUAGCACAGGCACUGGGCUCCUGGCUGCUUCUCCACUAGUUCCUGCACUCUUGUCACUGCCCUCUGCAUUUUUCUCAGAGCUCAUACAAGUCAGAAUUACCGAAUGGAGCAUGUUCCAGCUCUUCACACAGGUUCAAGCCCCCACAGGGAUGAUGCUCCUCUUUGCCUUCUUCCUCUUCAUGGGAUGGCCACUGGGCUUCGUUGAGCCCUGGACCUAUAACGUACAGUGCUAUGAGUGUUUGGUGAAAAACACGUUCGAUUGUCCAGGCCUUAAAACAUGCCCUUAUCAUAUUAGGCGCUGUUUUACUGUCUCCAUGCGUAAGUACCAGAUUAUCUUCUUACUCUAAUAAACGAGUCACCCCACCUAGGCAGUUUCAGGGGACAGGGCCACUCUUGUCUCUCUCUGUUCCGAUCCUGAGAAGAUGUUUCUAGGGCGAGGCUCAGCCCCAGGAAAGGGCAGGCAGUAAUAGCUUCUUGCAGAGACACAUAGCCUGCCACAUGGGCCCUUUUGUCCUCAGGUGUCCUGCUGUGUCUCCAGGGCUGGAAGAACUGCUGCCACUCAAGGCCUCCACUCCUUGGCCAUCCCUGGUCAAGUAGGUAGAUUCCCCAGUGCAGCUUAGGUGGUUCCUUGUUUCCCACAGGAGCAUGGUCCUCUGGCAAGGUUUGCCAGGCCCAAAACAUGGAAGCACCUUAGAUCCCUCAGGAAACUGCUUACCACAGAAGGAGCUGAUGUAGAGGCCCAUCAGCUGAAGGCCAUACUAUAGGGGCUUUCUGGUUGAGGGUCUGUGUGAUCUUUGGGACAUCAGCAAAAACGUAUCUCCUGGUCUCCAUUCAUUUCUGGGUCCCUAGAUUCCUUACGACAAAUAAUGAACGGAGCGACUCCUUUGUAUAGCUUCCUGACAAGGGACUGUAAAAUUACUUAGGGAUGCCAGAUGCCUAGAUAAGUUGGCAGUGUAGAUGGAAAAUCAUCCCUAGGUGAAGGCGUUCAUGGAGUAAUGAGAAUUCUAGUGGACUUGAAUAUUCUUGCUUACUCAAGAAGUUUAAGCACUGGGGACUUCCCUGGUGUUCUGGUGUUAAGAAUCUGCCCUUCAAUGCAGGGGACAUGGGUUCAGUUCCUGGUUUGGUGAAAGGAUGUAGCUGAACCAUGAAAAGAAGCCGAGAUUCUUGGCCUCGAG